AUAUUGGUCAAUGGUCGGGAGACUGAACCAGCCAAGCCGCGUGAGGGAGGAAGGUACAGAGUAUCGUAAACCUCUUUUGUCAGGGAACAAAGGCGGGGACGUGUCCCCGGAUGAGUGUACCUGAAGAAAAAGCAUCGGCUAACUCCGUGCCAGCAGCCGCGGUAAUACGGAGGAUGCGAGCGUUAUCCGGAUUCAUUGGGUUUAAAGGGUGCGUAGGCGGCCUUUUAAGUCAGCGGUGAAAGUCUGUGGCUCAACCAUAGAAUUGCCGUUGAAACUGGGAGGCUUGAGUAUGUUCGAGGCAGGCGGAAUGCGUGGUGUAGCGGUGAAAUGCAUAGAUAUCACGCAGAACCCCGAUUGCGAAGGCAGCCUGCCAAGCCAUGACUGACGCUGAUGCACGAAAGCGUGGGGAUCAAACAGG
rnacentral:rRNA from 1 species